GGGAAGCUUACCUGGCAGUCGAGGGGCAUCGGGAGGGAAGCUUGCUUUCCUUGCCGGCGACCGGCGCACGGGUGAGUAACACGUAUGCAACCUGCCCUCUUCAGGGGGACAACCUUCCGAAAGGGAGGCUAAUCCCGCGUAUAUCGGUUUCGGGCAUCCGGGAUCGAGGAAAGAUUCAUCGGAAGAGGAUGGGCAUGCGGCGCAUUAGCUUGACGGCGGGGUAACGGCCCACCGUGGCGACGAUGCGUAGGGGUUCUGAGAGGAAGGUCCCCCACACUGGUACUGAGACACGGACCAGACUCCUACGGGAGGCAGCAGUGAGGAAUAUUGGUCAAUGGGAGAGAUCCUGAACCAGCCAAGCCGCGUGAGGGAAGACGGCCCUAUGGGUUGUAAACCUCUUUUGUCGGAGAACAAAACCCGGGACGUGUCCCGGACUGCGUGUAUCCGAAGAAAAAGCAUCAGCUAACUCCGUGCCAGCAGCCGCGGUAAUACGGAGGAUGCGAGCGUUAUCCGGAUUUAUUGGGUUUAAAGGGUGCGUAGGCGGUCCGUUAAGUCAGCGGUAAAAUUGCGGGGCUCAACCCCGUCGAGCCGUUGAAACUGGCAGACUUGAGUUGGCGAGAAGUACGCGGAAUGCGCGGUGUAGCGGUGAAGUGCAUAGAUAUCGCGCAGAACUCCGAUUGCGAAGGCAGCGUAGCGGCGCCAGACUGACGCUGAGGCACGAAAGCGUGGGGAUCGAACAGGAUUAGAUAC
rnacentral:rRNA from 1 species